UGGCUGUCCAUGUGAGAAGGGACAACUUUCUGCUGAUGAUCUAUGAAGACAUGAAAAAGGACACAAAGAGCACCAUAAAGAAGAUUUGUGACUUCCUAGGAAAAAAAUUAGAGCCAGAUGAGCUGGAUAUGGUCCUCAAGUACAGCUCCUUUCAAGCCAUGAA